rnacentral:rRNA from 1 species
CAGUAGCCGCGGUAAUACGUAGGGUGCGAGCGUUGUCCGGAAUUGUUGGGCGUAAAGAGCUUGUAGGCGGUUUGUCGCGUCUGCUGUGAAAAUCCGGGGCUCAACCCCGGACUUGCAGUGGGUACGGGCAGACUAGAGUGUGGUAGGGGAGACUGGAAUUCCUGGUGUAGCGGUGAAAUGCGCAGAUAUCAGGAGGAACACCGAUGGCGAAGGCAGGUCUCUGGGCCACUACUGACGCUGAGAAGCGAAAGCAUGGGGAGCGAACAGGAUUAGAUACCCCCGUAGUCCCUGUCUCUUAUAU